rnacentral:lncRNA from 1 species
UAAACAACACAAGUUACAGUCUUUUUCACCUAAUCUAUACCCAUGUGACUUCUACCUAAGAACUCUUAGAUAUGAGAUCCCACUCACUCCCCCUCAAUCACACCAGUGACAUUAAACAAGAAUUGUAAUGAAAAGAAGACACUCUUCAAAGACACACACUUGAUCUUACUUAGCAACUUCAAUCAAGUAGACACACACUCAUGCUUAAAAGCUUAGAGUGACAAAUUACAACUCAAAAAUCAGACC